rnacentral:rRNA from 1 species
AUUGAACGCUGGCGGCAUGCCUUACACAUGCAAGUCGAACGGCAGCACGGGGCAACCUGGUGGCGAGUGGCGAACGGGUGAGUAAUGCAUCGGAACGUGCCAUUGAGUGGGGGAUAACGUAGCGAAAGUUGCGCUAAUACCGCAUAUUCUGUGAGCAGGAAAGCAGGGGACCGCAAGGCCUUGCGCUCUUUGAGCGGCCGAUGUCAGAUUAGCUAGUUGGUGAGGUAACGGCUUACCAAGGCGACGAUCUGUAGCGGGUCUGAGAGGAUGAUCCGCCACACUGGAACUGAGACACGGUCCAGACUCCUACGGGAGGC